AAAUUGAAGAGUUUGAUCAUGGCUCAGAUUGAACGCUGGCGGCAGGCCUAACACAUGCAAGUCGAACGGUAGCACAAAGGAGCUUGCUCCUUGGGUGACGAGUGGCGGACGGGUGAGUAAUGUCUGGGAAACUGCCCGAUGGAGGGGGAUAACUACUGGAAACGGUAGCUAAUACCGCAUAACGUCGCAAGACCAAAGAGGGGGACCUUCGGGCCUCUUGCCAUCGGAUGUGCCCAGAUGGGAUUAGCUAGUAGGUGGGGUAACGGCUCACCUAGGCGACGAUCCCUAGCUGGUCUGAGAGGAUGACCAGCCACACUGGAACUGAGACACGGUCCAGACUCCUACGGGAGGCAGCAGUGGGGAAUAUUGCACAAUGGGCGCAAGCCUGAUGCAGCCAUGCCGCGUGUAUGAAGAAGGCCUUCGGGUUGUAAAGUACUUUCAGCGAGGAGGAAGGCGUUGUGGUUAAUAACCGCAACGAUUGACGUUACUCGCAGAAGAAGCACCGGCUAACUCCGUGCCAGCAGCCGCGGUAAUACGGAGGGUGCAAGCGUUAAUCGGAAUUACUG
rnacentral:rRNA from 1 species